rnacentral:rRNA from 1 species
UACGUAGGGUGCGAGCGUUGUCCGGAUUAUUGGGCGUAAAGGGCUCGUAGGCGGCGUGUCGCGUCGGGGAGUGAAAGCCCGUUGCUUAACGGCGGGUUGGCUUUCGGUACGGGCAUGCUGGAGUGCGGCAGGGGAGACUGGAAUUCCUGGUGUAGCGGUGGAAUGCGCAGAUAUCAGGAGGAACACCGGUGGCGAAGGCGGGUCUCUGGGCCGAUACUGACGUGAGGAGCGAAAAGCGUGGGGAGCGAACAGG